GCAUUAGCUUUAAGGGUAUUGAAAGUAUUGCAUUGGAAUAUUUCUUUUUCUAUGUUUUGAAAACCUUUACAUUUGGAUAUCCUGCAAAGGAAAUGUUGCUGCUGUCAUCUUAGAGUCCAACAUUCACGUCCACACACCAGCACUCUCUUAAACACACACUGGUUCUCCUCGGGUUUUCUCUCACUUGUUGAGCUUCUUGCCUCUUAUCUGUGCAGACCAGAAUUUAAAGUAUGUGAAGCUGAUUGGUCAUUUUCUCAUCACUGAUUAUCCUCAGUGUAAAGAAUAGGCUGCCUUUAAACUGCUGUUCAGGGUUUCUUGAUGGUUUUUUUUUUGUGUGUGUUUCUCAGGAUAGAAUUUUCUAAAUCUCAUGUUUAUCUAAAGAUAACAGAAAAAAUUUUCCCCUCCUGCUACUUUGAUUCACAAAGUGUCCGCUUUGAUACUGAUCAUAUGAAUAAUAGCUGCUAAUAUCUGUUCUUAUUUCAGUUUACUUAUUCCUCUGUAUUUGAACUGGACUUUCAGAGGCUUUUGUGCUUCUCCCAAAUACUUACUGAUGCUAAUUUUCUGUAGAUCUGUUUUUUUUAAGCUCUUACCUGCAAAUGCUUAUUUUAGCUGAAUCUGAUUUCUCUUUAAGAAAUGUUUUUAUAUGUAUUUAUUUACAUCACCAAAAUCUAGCAAUUUAACGAUUUUAACAGUGGUACUUACGUGUUUGUGUGUGCAAGUGUUUCCUGUCCUAUGCAUUUAAAACCAGUAAAAGGUUUUACUCAUUUAAAACGAAGGAAAUCUUUUGGAGUGGGCAGUAUGAAUGAUUAGCGAUUUGUGUGGUUAUCAUUCCUAACUGUAAACGGUGGAUUCCCUAGAAAAUGCAGAUCCUUUCACAAACAGAGAGAUUUCCAAAAUGCUGUCGACAUUUCCCAGUCCAGUAUGUUCCAUAUCCGUCAGGUUGAAAGCUCAAAGAAUGAGACGGAGGAAGUUUGCUGUAUUAUCUUCAGCCUUCCUGUUAUCUGCUAAAAGUCUUGGUCUCUCUAACUGGCCUAAUGAAGCUCUAACUCUAACUCUGACUCGAUAUAUUAUAGAAAAUACACUGCUUUUAAAAGUAUAUAGCCACGUGAUAUGCUUAAAAAAGACCAAAAACCAUUUAAUCAUGAUAAAAUAAGGUUAUAUACACCAAGCGUACAUCUUGAUAAUGUUUUGAUAGUCCUUUUGUAGGCUAAAUAGAACCCAGCACCGGGCACAAUGAACACAUAUAAACAGACGUGGCGCCAUCUACUGGCAGUAUUGCAGAACUAUCAUAAUGCUGGUUUGCUUAAUUAAUAAAACAGUAUUAAAUAAUGCCGGACCGAGCCUGACCCUCUGUAAUGCCUUGCAGUAAAGCAGAAGCUCGGCGCUGCAUGCUGGACACCACGGCUCGUGUUGCCCAUGUUACUUGGAUCUAAUUUGUUUAUCAGUCUGAUUCCUCAACACAUUUCAAGAUAGAGACAAUUAAUGUUUGAUCUGUCAGUUCUCUCCUCUACCUUUUCACUUUUCCUACUUUUCAAUGAGCUCGUACGUUUCAAAGGACAUCUUUUUAAUACAUAUCUUUUAAGGAACCUAUCAGAGUAUACAGUCAAACCCAUACAUUCAUUGACACUGCUCCACAAAUUGUAUCGUUUGGGGCUAGUAAUUUAUUCUGCGAAUAAGGCCGAUAAACUUUCUAUAAAACAGACUUUCACAUAAAUGACGCACCAAUAUACACACUACCACUUAAAAGUUUGGGGUCACUUAGAAAUUACCUUAUAUUUUUAAUAAAGUAUUGUUUUCUUUAAUAAAAAAAAA